rnacentral:rRNA from 1 species
UACAGAGGGUGCGAGCGUUGUCCGGAAUCACUGGGCGUAAAGAGCGCGCAGGCGGUCGGAUAAGUCGAAUAUGAAAGCCCCCCGGCUCAACUGGGGAGGGUCAUUCGAUACUGUUCGACUCGAAGGCAGGAGAGGGAAGUGGAAUUCCCGGUGUAGCGGUGAAAUGCUUAGAUAUCGUCAAGAACACCUAUAGCGAAGGCAGCUUACUAGGCUGUAACUGACGCUGAGGCGACGAAAGUGUGGGGAUCAAAACAGG